CAAUCAAAAUUUCACAUCGAAAUAUCCAGUGAUAGCCAUCCAUGUAGGUAACAGGUUUCUGAACACAGUAAGUAUGGGCAGAAUGUUUCUCCAUCUAUAAGUACUUUCAGAUGUUAAGAUUUUUUAUAUGCAAAAAUAUAGUUGGUUCUUAGAAUUGGCCUCAUUCAAUCUUUCUCUGUCACUGUACUAAUAAAUAUAUUUCUGGUUUUAAAGGUGGCCUGUCAUUUUUUAAAUGCUCUUUUUAAGGAUGCUGUUUCCAAGGGAGCUAAUAUGAGUGCAUGAAGACACACCCAAUUCAAAUCCCAGUUCAACUUAUCAACCAAAGCUGUUAGUCUCAUAUCCUGGCUGCAUAUCCAAUUGAAAUGGGUCCACAUGAUCAGUAUCCUACAGGAGUACCUGGAGUUGUGAGUCUGAAUAGCAGUAAUUGAAAUUUAUCGCACAAAACCAGACUAGAUGAUGCACUGGACACUUCUCUGAAUUCACUCAUUACAGUGGCAUCUAGGUCAAGAUGGACGCAAUAUAUUUUGUGCAAGAAAGAUGGGCUCUAUAGGAACCAAGUGCAGGAACGUCAAGUGUCUUGUUUCUGACAGUGCCCUUCAGUGCGGACUCUUCAAUAGAUGGUAAUGUCAACACAAAAGGAAGGGAAGAGAAAUCUCAUCCAUGGAAAUGAGACCUGGGGUGGACAAGCAGAACCUUGAGAGGGAUGAAUAUAGUAGUUGUUCUUCCUUCAAGUACUUGUAAAGUCAGACAAUAAAGACUACUUAAAAUCUGA